CCUACGGGUGGCAGCAGUCGAGAAUCAUUCACAAUGGGGGAAACCCUGAUGGUGCGACGCCGCGUGGGGGAAUGAAGGUCUUCGGAUUGUAAACCCCUGUCAUGUGGGAGCAGAUUAAAAAGAUAGUACCACGAGAGGAAGAGUCGGCUAACUCUGUGACAGCAGCCGCGGUAAUACAGAGGUCUCAAGCGUUGUUCGGAAUCACUGGGCGUAAAGGGUGCGUAGGCUGUUUCGUAAGUCGUGUGUGAAAGGCGCGGGCUCAACCCGCGGACGGCACAUGAUACUGCGAGACUAGAGUAAGGGAGGGGGAACCGGAAUUCUCGGUGUAGCGGUGAAAUGCGUAGAUAUCGGGAGGAACACUCGUGGCGAAGGCGGGUUCCUGGACAGUAACUGACGCUGAGGCACGAAAGCGAGGGGAGCGAAAAGGAUUAGAUACCCGUGUAGUC
rnacentral:rRNA from 1 species